UUUUGGAAGGGUAGGUGAUAUGGGAAUGAACCCUAAUGUGUGUCUUUCCUCUCUCUCUAUAUGCCUUAGCCUUAUCAAAAGAGGCUUGGGUGACAGACAUAUGGGAAGAAUGAGGUGAAGGGGGGCUUGGAAUCUGUCUCACUUGACACUUGAAUGUUGAGACUUUUUUUCUCAAGGCUACAAGGAAAGGCUAUGAAGAUGGAAGAGAAGGAUAGGGUGUUAUGGAUGGACUCAAGGAACGUUUGUUUUUUUAAUCCAAUUUUUAUAUUCUAUCUUGUAGCCAAGGUGCUCAAUUCCUUUCCUAGUGGGCAUCAUUUGGAAUUCAUAUGUCCAAUCUAAAGCGAGUUGUUUGUUUGUGUUUUUUUUUUGUUUUCUUUUUUGAGCAGGAAAGAGGGAGGGGACUAGCUAGGGAAAGUUGUUGUCUUUAAACCAAUUUCAAAGGAAAGAUGGUCAUUGGAAAACAUUUGUCAUUGAUGUACAAGCGAAGUGGAAUUAAUUGGUCACAUCCCAAAACAAGGUUAGCUUUUCUCUUUAUUUGGUGUUGUUUAGGUCCUUCCUUAUAUGUUUAAGGAGACUCUUUUAAGUUGGCAUAACUCCUUUGUGAGAAAAAUGCAAGAAGGUUUAGAGAGCUGCUCUUUUGUGCAUUUUUUUGGACAAUUUGGAAAGAAA
rnacentral:lncRNA from 1 species